GAAAAAAAUUUGAAUUUGACCCAAAAGAAGAAACAAACAGAUUUAGAAACAAAAAAAAAUGAAAACAACUAAAAGAAGAAAUUUAAGAAUAAAAGAAAGAUUUAAAACAUAGAUAAAUAAAGAAAACAAAAAUUAAAAAGUGAAAGUUGAAUUAAAUAAACGGAUGAAUAAGGAUAGAAGAUGGUUGUUUAACUGAACCCUUUGAGAUAUAAAC
rnacentral:lncRNA from 1 species